rnacentral:rRNA from 1 species
UAGGGAAUCUUCGGCAAUGGACGAAAGUCUGACCGAGCAACGCCGCGUGAGUGAAGAAGGUUUUCGGAUCGUAAAACUCUGUUGUUAGAGAAGAACAAGGACGUUAGUAACUGAACGUCCCCUGACGGUAUCUAACCAGAAAGCCACGGCUAACUACGUGCCAGCAGCCGCGGUAAUACGUAGGUGGCAAGCGUUGUCCGGAUUUAUUGGGCGUAAAGCGAGCGCAGGCGGUUUCUUAAGUCUGAUGUGAAAGCCCCCGGCUCAACCGGGGAGGGUCAUUGGAAACUGGGAGACUUGAGUGCAGAAGAGGAGAGUGGAAUUCCAUGUGUAGCGGUGAAAUGCGUAGAUAUAUGGAGGAACACCAGUGGCGAAGGCGGCUCUCUGGUCUGUAACUGACGCUGAGGCUCGAAAGCGUGGGAAGCAAACAGG